rnacentral:rRNA from 1 species
GACGAACGCUGGCGGCGUGCCUAAUACAUGCAAGUAGAACGCUGAAGGAGGAGCUUGCUUCUCUGGAUGAGUUGCGAACGGGUGAGUAACGCGUAGGUAACCUGCCUGGUAGCGGGGGAUAACUAUUGGAAACGAUAGCUAAUACCGCAUAAGAGUAGAUGUUGCAUGACAUUUGCUUAAAAGGUGCAAUUGCAUCACUACCAGAUGGACCUGCGUUGUAUUAGCUAGUUGGUGGGGUAACGGCUCACCAAGGCGACGAUACAUAGCCGACCUGAGAGGGUGAUCGGCCACACUGGGACUGAGACACGGCCCAGACUCCUACGGGAGGCAGCAGUAGGGAAUCUUCGGCAAUGGACGGAAGUCUGACCGAGCAACGCCGCGUGAGUGAAGAAGGUUUUCGGAUCGUAAAGCUCUGUCGUAAGAGAAGAACGAGUGUGAGAGUGGAAAGUUCACACUGUGACGGUAUCUUACCAGAAAGGGACGGCUAACUACGUG